GUGAUCGCUUUGGCAGCACAUAUCCUAAAACUGUAAUGAUACAGAGAAGAUUAGCAUGGCCUCUGCGCAAGGAUGACAUGCAAAUCCAGCCGGUAUGGCUCAGUGGU